UACCAGCACCCCGAGUGGUCGGGACGAUUAUUGGGCCUAAAGCGUCCGUAGCCGGUUCUACAAGUCUUCCGUUAAAUCCACCUGCUCAACAGAUGGGCUGCGGAGGAUACUAUAGAGCUAGGAGGCGGGAGAGGCAAGCGGUACUUAGUGGGUAGGGGUAAAAUCCGUUGAUCCAUUGAAGACCACCAGUGGCGAAGGCGGCUUGCCAGAACGCACCCGACGGUGAGGGAUGAAAGCUGGGGGAGCAAACCGG
rnacentral:rRNA from 1 species